GUGUCGGCCAUUUUGAAUUAUGUUUUAAAAUGCUGUAUUUUUUGAACGCAUUAUCGUAUCGUUACGAAAAUAAUUACAAAAAUGUUUGGCUCCAUGUCCUGAAGCUACUCAAAAAGUUUGGUGGCAGCGCCACCUUGUGGUCAAAAGUUAUAAUGAAAUAUCGGAUAUAUGCUAAUAACUUUUGAAAAUAUUAGACUAUUGCAAUAAAAGUCAUGUUUCUAUAUUCUUUGGGUCAUGCCGAGAACAUCGAUACCAAUUAUUCCAAAAUUGGCCAUACUUCCUGUCCGCCAUUUUGAUUAAAGUUGAAAACCUACUUUUUGGAACUCCUCCUAGACCGUUAGUCCGAUUUUCACCAAAUUUGGUUCGGAUCAUCUUCAGUCCAAGCUGACAAAAAGUUAUGGAUUUCGUGUUGAUAUACGAAACGGUUUUCGUUUAGCGCAUCAACAAAUUUGGUCGUAAGAUGCCAAAAUACAUCUGAGGCUGUAUCUCUGCAAAGCUUUGACAUUUUUGCACCAAACUUUGUAGGUGCCAUUGUCACCUCACACUGACCAUGCAACAUCAAUUUGGUAACAGCGCCACCUAUUGGUCAAGAGUAAUAAACCAUUCAUUAACCAUUAAUAAUUACAUUUAUAAAAAUGCUAAUAACUUUUUAUUGCAUUAGCCUAUUGCAAUAAAACUGGUCUCAAAAUAUUCCUUGGCUUAUGCCGACAACAUAGAUACCAAAUAUGUCAGAGUACGCUGAACUUCCUGUCCGCCAUUUUGAUUUAUGUUGAAAACCUACUUUUUCGAACUCCUCAUCAACCGUUGGUCCGAUUUUCACCAAAAUUGAAUCAGAUGAUCUUCAGACUGUGCUGACAAAAUGUUAUGGAUUUUGUAUCGAUAGACAAAAUCGUUUUCGCAUACCACAGCGACGAAUUUCAGGCAUGAUGCCAAAAUGACACUUCAGCCUGUAUCUCUGCAAUGCUUUGGCAUACUGACACCAACCUUUGUGUGUGCCAUUGUCACCUCACACAGAACACACCAAAAUGAUUUAAUUACAGCGCCACCUGUUGGUCAAAAGUUAUAAGUCAUUUAAUCAUAAUACUAGUGCUUGUAUUUAUGAUUUUUCCGCAAUUUCAAUUACAAUCAUCCUAAAAUUGCUGUAAUUGCUCAUUGUUACAUUUGGUGUGAUGCUCCAUGCCAUGCUUAGCUCCUCAAUUUGCCUCUGGAGUGCUUGGCCCCGUAAUUGCUGCUUGCAGCUAUAUUUCUUCUUCUUCUUCUUCUUCUUCUUCUUCUUCUUCUUCUUCUUCUUCUUCUUCUUCUUCUUCCGCCGCAAGUCUAUGGCAGCCCAUAGAACCGAUUGCGGGAAAGUUGUAUAAUUUGGCACACUGAUAGAGGACAGUCCCAGCAUUAACUAUAGCAAAUUUGAAGUCUCUAACUCCAACUCUCUAGCGCCACCACUUGUCCAAAAUUUCAAUAUUUUUAUGCUAAUAACUUUUGAACCGUAAGCCACAAAAUGAAAAUUCUUUUUUCCUCUGAAUCCUUGGCUCAGGCCAAGUCGAAUGAACCCCGAAAUUCAAAAAUCGCAAGGUUUAGUUUUUUCGCUAUUUUCAAUUGUUCGAAAAACCUACUUUUUCAAACUCGUCCUAGACGGUUAGUCCGAUUUUCACGAAAAUUGGCUCAGAUCAUCUUCAGAUGAUGCCGGCAAAAAGUUAUGGAAUUCAAGUUGAUUCGUCCAACCGUUCUCGAAUACCACGCGAAAAAAUUCUACGAAAAGCACGCAAAAAUGCUUGUGAGGCUAUAACUCUGCAACGGUUGGGCGUAUUGAGACAAAACUUGGUGUGUGUUAUAACAAGCAUGACCUGAGACUACCUGCAGUGUUUCGACGCAGCGCCACCUAGUGGUCAGGAGAUAUGAAAAAUGCAUAUUUUUGCUUAUAACUUCUGAAUGGUUUGGCCAAAAAUAACAAAACUGGUCUCUUUAGAUUGGGUGGGUCAUGCCGAGUCGAAUGAUAUCCAAUUUUUACGUGUCGGCCAUUUUAGGUGUCGGCCAUUUUGAAUUAUGUUUCAAAAUGCUGUAUUUUUUUGAACGAAUUAUCGUAUCGCUACGAAAAUAAUUACAAAAAUGUUUGGCUCCA
ensembl:lncRNA